rnacentral:rRNA from 1 species
CACGUAGGGCGCGAGCGUUGUCCGGAAUUAUUGGGCGUAAAGAGCUCGUAGGCGGCCUGUUGCGUCCGCUGUGAAAGCCCGGGGCUUAACCCCGGGUCGGCAGUGGAUACGGGCAGGCUAGAGGUAGGUAGGGGAGAAUGGAAUUCCCGGUGUAGCGGUGAAAUGCGCAGAUAUCAGGAGGAACACCGAUGGCGAAGGCGGCUCACUGGACCAUAACUGACGCUGAUGCACGAAAGCUAGGGGAGCAAACAGG